UGGAAUGUAACUCAAUGGCAGAGUACCUGGCUUAUAUCCAGUUAGUUGUCGGUUCAAGUCCGACCAUUCCGA
rnacentral:tRNA from 1 species